CUGCCGGCGACCGGCGCACGGGUGAGUAACACGUAUGGAACCUGCCCGCAGCAGGGGGAUAAGCGGAAGAAAUUCCGUCUAAUACCGCGUAACAACGUUGGGAGGCAUCUCCCGAUGUUUAAAGAUUUAUCGGCUGCGGAUGGCCAUGCGGCGCAUUAGCUAGUCGGCGGGGUAACGGCCCACCGAGGCGACGAUGCGUAGGGGUUCUGAGAGGAAGGUCCCCCACACUGGUACUGAGACACGGCCCAAACUCCUACGGAAGGCAGCAG
rnacentral:rRNA from 1 species